GACGAACGCUGGCGGCGUGCUUAACACAUGCAAGUCGAACGGAAAGGCCCUGCUUGCAGGGUGCUCGAGUGGCGAACGGGUGAGUAACACGUGGGUGCUCUGCCCCUUACUUUGGGAUAAGCCUGGGAAACUGGGUCUAAUACUGGAUAGGACAUUGCUGUAGGUGGUGUGGUGGAAAGAUUAGUUUCGGUAAGGGAUGAGCUCGCGGCCUAUCAGCUUGUUGGUGGGGUAAUGGCCUACGAAGGCGUCGACGGGUAGCCGGCCUGAGAGGGUGGACGGCCACAUUGGGACUGAGAUACGGCCCAGACGCCUACGGGAGGCAGCAGUGGGGAAUAUUGCACAAUGGGCGCAAGCCUGAUGCAGCGACGCCGCGAGGGGGAUGACGGCCUUCGGGUUGUAAACUCCUUUCAGCCAUGACGAAGCCCUUGUGGUGACGGUAGUGGUAGAAGAAGCACCGGCUAACUACGUG
rnacentral:rRNA from 1 species